UACGUAGGGGGGCCAGCGUUGUUCGGAAUUACUGGGUGUAAAGGGUUCGUAGGCGGUGCGGCAAGUUGGGAGUGAAAUCUCUGGGCUUAACCCAGAGGCUGCUUUCAAAACUGCUGUGCUUGAGUGUGAGAGAGGCUCGUGGAAUUGCAGGUGUAGCGGUGAAAUGCGUAGAUAUCUGCAGGAACACCCGUGGCGAAAGCGGCGAGCUGGAUCACUACUGACGCUGAGGAACGAAAGCUAGGGGAGCAAACAGG
rnacentral:rRNA from 1 species